rnacentral:lncRNA from 1 species
UCUCCGGUCUCUUGGCCGAGCGCAGUAAUUGAAGUGUUUCGCGGCGUUUCUCAUCAAUUCGAUUUCGAAUCUCAAGCUGCUCACUUCGGAUUCCGCCUCUCUGCAGUCUCAAACAAUUUCUUGUUCAAUGGCAACCCCAAAAGUUCCAAUUUCCGCUCCAACGAAAUCUUUCCAACGUAUUUCCCACUUCCAAAUUCCCAUUCAUCGAAU